UGUGAAGAAACGGAUUGUGGUUUUUUGGU
rnacentral:piRNA from 1 species